rnacentral:misc_RNA from 1 species
GAUGAAAACCUUUUUUCUUGAGGUGUGGCUCGCACCUGUCUAACUAAAUCGAGCUACCACAUUUUAACACGGUUGCAUCGGUUGGCUGUCAAACAGUGCGCGCGGCGAUUUAUUUCGCCUCCCCGCGCAUUGCCGAGACGGUCGACAUUUACCAAAAACACUGUUGAUACCAUAGGAUUUGAACGUAGAUGAAACUCGACUGGUAAUGCGGUCGUCUAAAAUCUAAAAA